GGGGCCGGAGGUCAACGCCCGACAGCGCUGUGCGCCCUCGGGCGUAGUUGUG
rnacentral:sRNA from 1 species